rnacentral:rRNA from 1 species
UAAUGGAUUGGCCCAACAAGGUAUGCUAGGCGACACAUGUGCUACGAUGGCCGGGACAAACGGUCGCGAUCCCGCGAGAGUGAGCUAACCCCAAAAACUCGUCCUCAAUUCGGAUUGCAGGCUGCAACUCGCCUUCAUGAAGCCGGAAUCGCUAGUAAUCGUCGGUCAACCAUAAGGCGGUGAAUUCGUUCUCGGGCCUUGUACA